AUGUUGCAGGGAUCGGAGGCUGAGAUCGCGAACAUCAAAUUUCUCCUGCUCUGCUUUCAACAUCUGUCAGGCCUCAAAAUUAACUUCGCUAAAAGCGAGGUGAUGGUCUUGGGCUACUCCCCCUCUGAGAGCAUGAGUAUUGCUAACCGCCUGAACUGCUGGCUUGGGACUUUCCCCACUUCUUAUCUGGGAAUCCCCAUUAGUGACUUGCGCCUUACUGUGGCCGACCUCCGUCCCUCGGUCCUCAAGCUGCAACACCCAGGGCAGGUGGCUCUCUAA
rnacentral:rRNA from 1 species